CAAAAUGGCAAAGAUUUUCAAGGUGACUUAUUUUUCCAAGGUUUAGUACCGAGAGUCCUAUUUUUUCCAAAUUUCUCAAAUAUCCGAUCCAAGCUAGGGUUCCAAAAUGGCAACCAAAUUGGGGAUGAGGCUCGUUGGGGAGCUGGGAAUUUGUGGAGGCUGUUGCCCCUCUCCAUAGAUGCUGAUCUCUGCCUUCGCAGAUCGAUCGGUCGCCUGAGAGCCGAUGAUUCAUAUCCUAAACUCAACAGCUCCACUCGGUAAGAAUCUUGCGAACUGUAUCGUUUGAUUGCGGCUUCUGUUCCUAAGAUCUGGUUUCCGAAUCAGAAAAUAGACACAUCGACCGUUGCUUUCCAUUCCAUUUCAUUCCAUGAAUCCUAGUCCCAAAUGGCAUUAAGGCUUUGUUUGGGAGAGAUUUAGCAACGGAAAGGAACAGGAAAGAGUGUAAUGGAAGGUAAUCUCAAUUCCAUCUCCCACUCCCGUACGCUCUGUAAAUGUUGAGUCCCAGAAAACGAAUAGAUUGAGGCUUCGCUGUUCGCGCAGAGAGGCGGGGUGUUCUGAGGGUGGUUGCCCCUCUCUGUACCAAAACGAUGCCGAUGAUUUCAGAUCCAUCACCAAAAUGAACCGCCCUUUGUGUGUGUGUGUUUGCGCACGUUGGUUUGUCUUUUUGUUUGUAGUAGCAUUUGUUAAAAUGAGUAAGAUAACACGAUAAGCUUAAAAUAUUUCUCGAAUCAAAAUAUAAAAUGAUCAAGAUAAUGUUGUCUAUUCAAAGAUUUUUAUUAAAGUGUUUGUCAAAUUUUUUAGUAUGUUCUAGAGAACUUAUACGUCAUUUUAUUUUUAUGUGUAAGGAUUAAGAUAAAUUUAUUUAGAGAGAUAACUUUAGGAGAGACAUUAAAGUUUAAUAUGAAGUGUAUGAAUUUAAAUAAAGAUAUGAUAAAAGACAGAAAUAUAUGGAAGUCUAGAAUUCAUGUAAUCGACCUUAUAUAGUGGGAUAAAAAUCGGAUAUGUUGUUGCUGUUGUUGUUUAUUCAGAGAGAUAAAUUUCUUUAGAAAAACUUAAAUAAGAAGUUAUUUAAUUUUUUAUUUGAUUGUCAGAUAAAUUUAAAAAAUAUAAUAAAAAAUAUUUUUAUUUCUUAUAUUUUAUUUUUUCAAUUUCUAUUUUGACUAACAAACACUAUCUUUGUGGCUAAUAAACACUACCUUAGGGCUGUGAUGAUAAGUUUUCUUGGUCCAGAUCGGUGUUAGCUGGGGGAGAUGUGACCCUUUUCUUGGCGGGGUGACUCAGAUGGCCAGCGACCCGAUAAAUUAUUCGGGUUAGAGAGAGAGAGAGAAAUUGCUAGGCAAUCGGAGUCUGCAGCCAUGGUGGGGUCACCCCUCUUCAACCUGCUACUGUGAUCAAUCUAGAUCUGAGCCUCAAACCUUAAUAUGUUUAUAAUAUAUGUAUUUAUAUACGUAUAUAUUGCUUGGUGCAAUUUAAUUUAAUUGACUUAUUUGUUUCUAAGUUGAUGUGAUUAUAAGUAUGGGAAAGCCUAUGUGGUAAGUUAUUAUAUAAAAUGAAUAAUGUUACACUUACCAUCUGGGUUACCCUUUUGGCUACCCAAUAAUUUACAUUUUCUUUAUUAAUUUUUUUUUCCUUUGCAAUCCCCAAUGGCAUGUGUUUCUCGCCCAGUGUUAUCCCUGCCUUACCCCUCUCUCUCUCUCUCUCUCUCUCUCUCUCUCCCACUGUCACUUCUUCUCACGACCCAUCUCUCUCUCUCUCUCUCUCUCUAUCUAUCUAUCUCUCGCCGGCGACCAUCACUCCCUCACAUGAUCGUCCUUCCUUUCGGCUCUCCCUCUCAUGACUCGUGUCUCUCUCUCUCUUUCUCUUGCCAGCCACCCUCAGUCGGCCGUCUCUCCCUCUUGACUCUCUCUUUCACGACCUGUCUCUCUCUCUCGCUCCCGCUGCCCACGAACAUCACUCCCACUCGCCGUUUCUGUCUCUCUGUAGCAAAGCUCCUCUCGGCUCUCCCUCUCACGACUGUCUCUCUCUCCUAUUGGUUGCGAACGCAGCCCCCACCCGUCAGCCACGAAACUUGCCGUCGCACUGCCGGCAGUUGCACCUAUUGUUACCCCCACCUACUGUCCAGCCACUACACUCGCCAUCGUUAGGCAACGCUCCUUUACGAAGAGAGAAUCAUUUGGAGCAAAAUGAUUGGUUUGCCAGGAGGUCUUGCUACACAUUACUACAUUCCGUAUAUGCAACACAAGGAUGGAAUUGGGUUGUAAUGGAUGAUCCUGAGAAGGCUGACUGUUUACAUGUUUCUUGGUAUUGUCAUUGAAGUGCUGUCCAAGUAGAGUAGGUACAUUAUCAGUUGGGUAAGAUAUUUCUGAUAUUUAAAUUGAAAGAAUCUGACGAAGAUUAAGAUGUUACAAUAUGUGAAAUUGCUACAAGUGGGAUACAACCCCAUGAAAGGGCACCUUUGAAUUUGUAGAAAUCUUAAUUAGUAUUUUGUGUUUAAGGAUGUGAAUGCAGUUUCAGCUGUUGCAGCAGCAACUGGACAAUCUGAAGAGAACUUUGAUGAGUAACCACAUUCAGAAGCAGCAAGAACAACUGGACCAUCAUCAAGAAGCCAUGACUGAACUAAAGCUAGUAGGGCAGCAGCAAGUGCUGGACCAGUACACUUUCUUUGGGGAGGAGCAGCCUAGUGACAUUCUUCACCAUGCAAGUAUCCAUUUAAAAAGAUCAUUAGUAGGAGAUUCAUUUUUAUAUCAGUUAGGUAAUAUGUAUGACACCAGCUCAAGAAUGAAGAUCAUUGGGUUCAUGUAUCAAGUGUUUUUUAGUUGUGGGUUGUUUCUUCCAUAGUCCCAUUGAUUCAAUUUGAGGAAGUAUACAAAAUUUCAUUCUUAAGGGUA